CUGAUGCCAACGCUCCCCCCAGGGGACCCUCGCCGCGGGCAGAAGCCUGCACCCCUUCGGCUGAUGCUUGGGUCCUUCAACCUCUGCCCUCCCAGCAACUAGCCACCAAUGGGGGUCCCGGACUUCUCAGGAGCCGAGACUCGCAUCUUUUGGGUAUCUCUCAGCUGGGACCCCAGCCGUCCAAGCUCUCCGGCGGAGCCCCACCUCCUUCGCUGCUACGGACCACGGCCAGCCCGAGUCCAUCGGACUCCCCAGACCUCUGCCUCCUUGUGCAAGGGGCUGGUAGGAUCGGCUGGACAGCACGAGUCUAGGACUGUGAACCCCUCUAGGACACCAGGCUUUGGGUACUGGGACGCUUAAGGCUGUGCUGGACCGAUAGUCGGGGUCCGGCCAGUGGCCCAGGGAGAGGAAAGGGCUCCGGGCGUGGCCUUAGCAGACCACCAGGCCAAACUGCCUGGGGCGAGGCCGUGGAGCCCGGGGACUGGCGCCAGAGUCGGCUGAAGGGAGACUCCCGGGGCAUUGGCCUUAUGUAUAUUUUUUUCCUCCUAGGGGUCCCCUUCGGGGAGAGGGAAGCGAUGUUUUGAGCACUUUGUUCCUAAAGUCACCUGGAGUUUUUUCUUCACAACACCUCCAUUCUAGCAAGGCAGUGAGCUCGGAGGCGGGCACACAAAUCUAGGUCCCUCCCUGGGUAUAAGACCUGAGACCUUAGCUCAGAAAGAGGCUUUCGAGUCAGAUUUUAGGGCAAUGUAGACAGGUGCGAGGGAUUGGUCGAGCUCUACGCCCUCCAUCUAGCCCCUCGGUCUUUGCAGAGCCCUAGACCUCCAGGGAAUAAUCCCAGAGGGGUCCCAGGUGGGUCCCGAGCAGAGGGAUGGCUGGGGUCCCUGCCGCCCCCGAGGAUGGGGGAGGGGCGGCAGGAUUGACAGUCCGUAAUUGGGUAACUGGAGGCGGCUUCUCCGGCCCAGCGGCCCCGCCACCGCGACGCCGGGCCCCUGACGUCACCCGAUUCGCCAGGAAAUGAACUUUUUAAUAAUCCAAGGAGGGAGGAAAGCCCUCGGUCCCCUCGGCUCGGGGGGCGCCCAGCCCGGCUCUGCUCCCCGGGGGCGCCCCAUCACCCCCCUCCCACGUCCUCUGCGGACAGCUCUGAGGGGGCGCGCGCACCGCAGGGCCUCCUCCGGUCUCUGCGGCUGGGGUCCAUCUGACUGUCUGAGGCUUUGGAACAGGUAAAGGCCCUGGGCCCGGGGUGCAGAACUGCACUGGGACGGAAACCCGCAUCUUUCGCGCCCUGGGGGGUCCCUGCUGUUCACCGUGUUCCCUGCGCUUCAGCUCUCCAGAUCCAGCAGGGGCCCAGGCGGCUGGGGAGUCUGCUGCCAGCCUAGGCGGGAGGUCGUACGUACGAGAGCGCGGGGGGCUGCAGGGGCUCAAGGCCGCAGUGCCUCGGGGCCGGCUGGGCAGGUGGGUGGUCUCUGUGCCACCAAGCUCGCGCUCCCACCUAGGACCCGCUCCCUCUCGGGACGGCUUUCUCGGCUUCUCCCCGCCUUUAGACCGCGAUUCUUCAUUAACGCGCAAAGCGAGAUAGUCAUGGAGUUCCAGAGUGUUCGAUGUUCCUGGAACCUAGCAGGAGCAUCUAAAGGCCUCGCAGCCUCGGCGAUAACACUACUCUCGGCAACGGUGCCCCAUGCGGCCGAAUCCCAGGCCUCUGUUCUGCAGACUUCCAGGAGAUCGCGGAGCACAGAGGAAGCUGCCCUGGCCGUCGGCGCCUAGGCUGGCAGGGCGGGGGUGGGGGGAGCUCCCAACACCACCCGCGAAAGCAGGAGCAGCCGCCACACAGGAGGCCCUUCUGAACACAAGACCUUUCCCCUCACCGCUGGGAUUAUCGCAGCCCUUUCAGAGCGCGCACAACAAAUGCGCCCGCCAUCGAAUGCAGCAUUUACCACCGCAGAUCCGCGCGCCGAUGGGCAGGCAGAUAGCGUCCGCGGGGGGCUCGCCGGGCGGCGAGUGUGCGCCCCGGCUCUGCCCGGUGUGUUUGGAGGAACACGUGGGUAUGCCAGCGAGUGGACCCUCAGCAAGCAAGAAUGUGAGUGUGCGAGUAAGUGUGCCUCGACAAAGUGCACGUGUGCGAGCCCCUGAGCACACGCGUGGUGAGUGUUCGUGGCGAGUGCCAGGAUGUGGCCGCCGAGACGCACGCGGUAAGCGGUGCUGCACGUGACCGCGCGGGGAAGCAUGCAAUGGGUGUGCUGGCCGCGUGCACGAGCGAAUUCACUGUGAGGGCCUACAGGUACCUGGCCCCGGAGGAUGCUGUUAGUGGUGCGGAACAGAGGGGUUUUCAGCCACUCAGGAAUGUUAUGUGUAUCACGUGCAGGCCUCACUCCACACGGGGUGGACGCAGUAGCCGGCGUUUGAGCCAGUGGCACAGGCUUUUGGAACCCGCACGGAUCUGUGGGGCAGUGUGCACCCAGGACUACCGCGUGUGCCCAGAGAUGCGCGAAAGGAAGGUCCGGUUUCGGGCCUUGCUCGAGCCUCUGUUGUGCAGACUCGGGGUUGGACAUUGGCUGUGAGGAAGAGACCGACCGCUGUG